rnacentral:rRNA from 1 species
AUUGAACGCUGGCGGCAGGCUCAACACAUGCAAGUCGAGCGGGGACUUCGGUCCUAGCGGCGAACGGGUGAGGAAUGCUUGGGAAUCUGCCUGGUAGUGGGGGAUAACGUUUCGAAAGGAACGCUAAUACCGCAUACGUCCUACGGGAGAAAGGGGGGGAUCUUCGGACCUCUCGCUAUCAGAUGAGCCCAAGUCGGAUUAGCUAGUUGGUGAGGUAAAGGCUCACCAAGGCGACGAUCCGUAGCUGGUCUGAGAGGAUGAUCAGCCACACUGGAACUGAGACACGGUCCAGACUCCUACGGGAGGCAGCAGUGGGGAAUAUUGGACAAUGGGCGAAAGCCUGAUCCAGCCAUGCCGCGUGUGUGAAGAAGGCCUUCGGGUUGUAAAGCACUUUAAGCGAGGAGGAAUGGCUCUGGGUUAAUACCCUUGAGCAGUGACGUUACUCGCAGAGUAAGCACCGGCUAACUCUGUGCCAGCCGCCGCGGUAACAC